UGGUGGGAGCGAUUUGUCUGGUUAAUUCCGAUAACGAACGAGACUCCGGCCUAUUAACUAGUCGACGGAUCUCCAGCCAUUGGUGUCCAGUUCGCAACUUCUUCUUAGAGGGACUAGCGGCAUUCUAGCCGCACGAGAUUGAGCAAUAACA
rnacentral:rRNA from 1 species